rnacentral:rRNA from 1 species
UACGAAGGGGGGCUAGCGUUGCUCGGAAUCACUGGGCGUAAAGCGCACGUAGGCGGCUUUCUAAGUCAGGGGUGAAAUCCUGGAGCUCAACUCCAGAACUGCCUUUGAUACUGGAGAGCUAGAGUCCGGAAGAGGUGAGUGGAACUGCGAGUGUAGAGGUGAAAUUCGUAGAUAUUCGCAAGAACACCAGUGGCGAAGGCGGCGACCUGGGUAGAUACUGACGCUGAGGUGCGAAAGCGUGGGGAGCAAACAGG